rnacentral:rRNA from 1 species
UAACUCCGCCGGCGACCGGCGCACGGGUGCGUAACGCGUAUGCAACCUACCUUUAACAGGGGCAUAACACUGAGAAAUUGGUACUAAUUCCCCAUAACAUUCGAGAAGGCAUCUUCUUGGGUUAAAAACUCCGGUGGUUAAAGAUGGGCAUGCGUUGUAUUAGCUAGUUGGUGAGGUAACGGCUCACCAAGGCAACGAUACAUAGGGGGACUGAGAGGUUAACCCCCCACAUUGGACUGAGACACGGCCAA